GACACAGCAGGAGCUCGUGCAGACUCGCUUGAAGUUUGGAGCUCGAUGCAAGCUCACAGGCAGAGGUGAGUGCUACCUCCAUAUGUUACUUCAUCUACCUGUAAUUUCCCUUUCCUAUAGUUCAAAGUGAUGGAAACAGAGAGGAGAGGCAGAGUGUAUGCACAUAUGCACGUACUGUAGUUUGACCUGCAGCUUCACUUUUCCAUUCUUAGUUUUCAAUCACACGAGCGCAAGACUACAUGGAACUGGAAAACUAAAUCAUGGAGGAAUAACCAGCAACUAAUUGUAUUCAUAUAUAUCUUUAUUUGAGCAUAAAACUAUCAGUUAGCAGUUGGAAUUCAUAGAAAUUAUGGAAAUCAUGCAAAACUAUACUAUGAAACUUAAUACACAAUUAUAUUUUCUACAGGCUACCAUCCUAAAACUGAGACAUACCUUAGAACAAUGAACAAUGAGUAUCAAUCCAACUAUACCUUUACAAGCACUCACUUAGUAGACGACAAGCAUGGAUGGUAAUACAACUGCAUUUUACACAAAAUACUAUUAUAUCAUUGUAAUGCAUAUAAUACAUACAAACUAUUAAAACAAAUUCAGAGGCUUCACCUCGUUGUCAGCCGUUAGUAUAAAAUGCUGAGAUGACAAAAAAUGGUAAAAAAAGGCUGAGAUGACAAAACAAAAAAUGUAGCUUGGAAUAUAGCUGAGAAUAUAUAAAUCUUAGAUAAUCAGUAAAAUAAAAUUGCAAUUUUUUCUUGGACAAAAUGUACCUUGUGGAAAAUCAUCUUAACUAUAAUUGAUUAUUGUCUCCCCUUGGAACUGCUGUACAAAACUUGAAGAAAUCGUAUACUAUAGUGAAGCACUAAAGCACAUGCAUAUACAUGAGGCAUGUUCGAAACAUGAGGCCACUCCUUUCUAUAUGUAUACGUGAGGCAUGUUUGAAACUGAUUUUGCUGAUGUGCAUGGCCGCUUGUGUGGCAUGCCCGCGAUUAUCACUCCCAGAAUUAUAAUAUAAUUCUGAAGGAUUAAUUUGCACGCCCACGGUCAUCACUCCCAAAGCUAUUUCUGUAAUUUGCAUGUCAUAGAUUAAACUCUUUGUUUGUUUUAAUCUUAUCUCCUCGUAUGAUAGGAGGGUCUAAAAUUUGUAGAUUCAAGGCGCAACAACUUACCUAUGCAUGAUGAAGUGCCAGAAGCUGCUUCCAUGCUCGAGAACACAGUUGAUGCAUGCUGAUCCACAGAGAGAGCAAUUUUCUAUCAAUCCUGAUCUAUUCUCAUGUGAUCUAGGGGGCAACAUUGACAAUGUAGUAGAUGGGAAGGAGAAAGGAUGUAGCCGGAAAGAUAUUUUGGCGAUUAUCUGUUGUUACACAAGAGAAAAAAAGUUUGUUUUGCUGAUUAUCUAGAACAAAUUAGAGAGGUACGCUGUGUUUUAUUGAGUCCAACUUCCAUGUUGUGUUUCUCCUUUAACACGUGCACGUGGUUCCUCUUUUGAUUGUGCAUUCUCAGCUGCUAAUUUUUGCUAGGCUAUGUCCAUCUAAUGAGAGGCUUUCCUUCCUUUAUUUUCUCU
rnacentral:lncRNA from 1 species